GACGAAGGGGGCUAGCGUUGUUCGGAAUUACUGGGCGUAAAGCGCGUGUAGGCGGUCCGGUAAGUCCGCUGUGAAAGUCGGGGGCUCAACCCUCGGAUGCCGGUGGAUACUGUCGGGCUUGAGUACGGAAGAGGCGAGUGGAAUUCCUGGUGUAGCGGUGAAAUGCGCAGAUAUCAGGAGGAACACCCGUAGCGAAGGCGGCACUCUGGGCCGAUACUGACACUGAGGAGCGAAAGCGUGGGGAGCGAACAGG
rnacentral:rRNA from 1 species